CCUACGGGGGGCUGCAGUGGGGAAUAUUGGACAAUGGGGGCAACCCUGAUCCAGCCAUGCCGCGUGUGUGAAGAAGGCCCUCGGGUUGUAAAGCACUUUCAGUGAGGAAGAACGCCUGGUGGUUAAUACCCAUCAGGAAAGACAUCACUCACAGAAGAAGCACCGGCUAACUCCGUGCCAGCAGCCGCGGUAAUACGGAGGGUGCGAGCGUUAAUCGGAAUUACUGGGCGUAAAGCGCGCGUAGGUGGCUUGAUAAGCCGGUUGUGAAAGCCCCGGGCUCAACCUGGGAACGGCAUCCGGAACUGUCAAGCUAGAGUGCAGGAGAGGAAGGUAGAAUUCACGGUGUAGCGGUGAAAUGCGUAGAGAUCGGGAGGAAUACCAGUGGCGAAGGCGGCCUUCUGGACUGACACUGACACUGAGGUGCGAAAGCGUGGGUAGCAAACAGGAUUAGAUACCCGAGUAGUC
rnacentral:rRNA from 1 species